rnacentral:rRNA from 1 species
GACGAACGCUGGCGGCGUGCUUAACACAUGCAAGUCGAGCGAUGAAGCACCCUCGGGUGUGAAUUAGCGGCGAACGGGUGAGGAACACGUGAAGAAUCUGCCUUCAACUCUUGGAUAACUCCGGGAAACCGGGGCUAAUACCGGAUAUGAGCCUUGAUCGCAUGAUCGGGGCUGGAAAGUUUUUCGGUUGAAGAUGACUUCGCGGCCUAUCAGCUUGUUGGUGAGGUAAUGGCGCACCAAGGCGACGACGGGUAGCCGGCCUGAGAGGGCGACCGGCCACACUGGGACUGAGACACGGCCCAGACUCCUACGGGAGGCAGCAGUGGGGAAUAUUGGGCAAUGGAGGAAACUCAGACCCAGCGACGCCGCGUGAGGGAUGAAGGCCUUCGGGUUGUAAACCUCUUUCAGUAGGGAAGAAGCGAAAGUGACGGUACCUACAGAAGAAGCACCGGCUAACUAUGUGCCAGCAGCCGCGGUAA